AGGACGAACGCUGGCGGCGUGCUUAAAACAUGCAAGUCGAACGGGGGCUUCGGCCCCAGUGGCAAACGGCUGAGUAACGCGUGGGUGACCUGCCUGGAAGUGGGGAAUAACUGCCCGAAAGGGUGGCUAAUACCGCAUGUGAUGGCGAGACCGAUCUCGUCAUGAAAGUCUUCGGACGCUUCGAGGAGGGGCCCGCGUUCGAUUAGCUAGUUGGUGGGUAACGGCCUACCAAGGCGACGAUCGAUAGCUGGUCUAAGAGGAUGAUCAGCCAGACUGGGACUGCGGCACGGCCAGACUCCGUACGGGAGCAGCAGGUUACGGAAGUUUGGGACUAAGUGGGACGAAAGCCGUGACCAGCAACGCGCGGUGGUGAGUGAAGGUCCGUACGGUCGUAAACGUCCCGUUUUUUACGAAGGGUAAGUAAGUAACGUA
rnacentral:rRNA from 1 species